GACGAACGCUGGCGGCGUGCUUAACACAUGCAAGUCGAACGAUGAACCCGGAGCUUGCUCCGGUGGAUUAGUGGCGAACGGGUGAGUAACACGUGAGUAACCUGCCCUUGACUCUGGGAUAACUGCGGGAAACUGUAGCUAAUACCGGAUACGACCCUCGGCGGCAUCGCCAGGGGGUGGAAAGAAUUUCGGUCAAGGAUGGACUCGCGGCCUAUCAGCUAGUUGGUGAGGUAACGGCUCACCAAGGCGACGACGGGUAGCCGGCCUGAGAGGGUGACCGGCCACACUGGGACUGAGACACGGCCCAGACUCCUACGGGAGGCAGCAGUGGGGAAUAUUGCACCAUGGGCGCAAGCCUGAUGCAGCAACGCCGCGUGAGGGAUGACGGCCUUCGGGUUGUAAACCUCUUUUAGUAGGGAAGAAGCGAGAGUGACGGUACCUGCAGAAAAAGCACCGGCUAACUACGUGCCAGCCGCCGCGGUAA
rnacentral:rRNA from 1 species